rnacentral:rRNA from 1 species
AAGGUAGCGAAAUUCCUUGUCGGGUAAGUUCCGACCUGCACGAAUGGCGUAACGACUUCCCCACUGUCUCGACCAGGAGCUCGGCGAAAUUGCAGUACGAGUAAAGAUGCUCGUUAAGCGCAGAAGGACGAAAAGACCCCGGGACCUUUACUAUACCUUGGUAUUGGCGUUAGGCGCGGAUUGUGUAGCAUAGGCGGGAGGCUUCGAAGCGGGUGCGCCAGCAUUCGUGGAGCCGCAAGGUGAAAUACCGCUCUGUUCUCGUUUGACGUCUAACCUCGACAAGUCAUCCUUGUCAGGGACAGUGCCUGGCGGGUAGUUCAACUGGGGCGGUUGCCUCCCAAAGAGUAACGGAGGCGCUCAAAGGUCCGCUCAGCCCGGUUGGCAAUCGGGUGUCGAGUGUAAUCGCACAAGCGGGCUUGACUGCGAGGACGACGGUCCGAGCAGGGACGAAAGUCGGAGAUAGUGAUCCGGUGCCGGCGCACGGGCGCGGCAUCGCUCAACGGAUAAAAGGUACCCCGGGGAUAACAGGCUGAUCAUUCCCAAGAGUCCAUAUCGACGGGAUGGUUUGGCACCUCGAUGUCGGCUCGUCGCAUCCUGGGGCUGGAGCAGGUCCCAAGGGUUCGGCUGUUCGCCGAUUAAAGCGGCACGCGAGCUGGGUUCAGAACGUCGUGAGACAGUUUGGUCUCUAUCCUCUGCGCUCGUUGGAAUCCUGAGGAGGCCUGCCCAUAGUACGAGAGGACCUGGGUGGACGAACCUCUGGUAUGCCGGUUGUCGCGCCAGCGGCACGGCCGGUUGGCUACGUUCGGGAGGGAUAACCGCUGAAAGCAUCUAAGCGGGAAGCCUGCUCCAAGAUUAGGAUUCCAUGGAUCUUCGAGAUCCUGUAGCCCGCAUGUUGAACACGUGUUUGAUAGGCCGGAGGUGGAAGCCCCGUGAGGGGUGGAGCCGACCGGUACUAACGGGCGAUGGCGACAUAAC